GGGGUAACACUCUUUUGGAAAGGACAGCUGAACUUAGCCUCAAGUAAGUCCAGAUGUCCUUUCAACAAAGAAUUGGAAAUCAUAGAUGCUGCAUCCUCAGUUUCAAACAAUAUCUCCAGGUUUAGGAGCAACAUCUGUGUUCAUCCAGACAAUGAAUGGUUACGAUCAGCUAUGAUCGGCAGAUACGACCUUUUGUAGCCGUUCCGCAUCAGUGGAAAUUGGGAGUGAGACUCUUGACAGAAAGACCAGGUGUCUUUGCGUCCUUUAGGAAGACCCUGGCCUCUGCUGAGGUCAAAGUGAUGGACUCUUUACGUUCUCUUCCAUCAGUGUGAGGAUGUGACCCGAACUAAAUCAGACCAUUGUUUCCUGAAGUCGAUCUUUGUCAGACAAUAAUGAAGUGGCUCUUAGAUCGGGAGGGAAAAGAGGGAUGAGGUAAGAAGGAAAGAAGGUUGUUGUUUUGAUCACUCCACCUUCAUCCUCCCCCCUCGCUCUUUAACCUCCCCCAUCCGCUCUCAGGUGUGCAGGUUUGUGAUGCGGGCUCAGCGGCAGCGGCGUGCGUGCAGACAGGACGCUGUGACGGGUUUUAUCUCUCCAUGAAGCAGAGGCAAACAUUCUCACUGUUGCUCUGAAUGUUUUUGUGUUUCCUCUUUUUUCCACACCUUUGAAGUUUCAGAGCAAAAACAGAAAUUAAAGCCGCACGGUUGCAGCGCGGUGACAUCAGCUCUGCGGGGUUAUUAGAGUUCGUAAACUGGGCUUAUUUAUAUUGUCAUAAAAACUUCUGAGGAGCGGAUAAAGAGAGAGGAGCAUUAAAGUUAUUUCUACUUACCAAACUCAGUCCAAAUGGAGGUUUUAGCAGCAGGCCUGAAAUCAGAACCUUAUUACGGUGGACCGACUCUGCAGAGUGGAAAUGAAAUACAGAGAAAGUGAAUCCAUCCCAUAAAAAAGAAGAGAAGAUCCACUUCUUCAGACUCGUAUUGAAAGUCCCGUGUUUGAACCUGGAUGAUAAAUCGGGGCGUAGAAGUGUGACUGAACAUUAGCAGGAUUCACCUGCAGGCGCUCUCUCAGUCUAUCACACAUGAAAUGAAAUUCUCCCAGCAUUUAGACGCGGGAACCACAGAAAUGUGAAUUUUAAUAAGAUUUCAGGUUACAUUAAUGAAUGUGUCUUUGUGGUUUUCUGCUUUAUCACUCUGAACUCUUCCUGUAUCCUGAUAAAAAUCCACAUUUAGUUCACAGACAUCCAAACAAUGUCUACAGACUCUCUUCUGACAGAUUCGAUGAUUCAGAAACCUUCAGACUGUAAACACUGAACGUAAAUGUGCAGAUUGUCUGAAUCUGUUCCAUAUAUAGUUUCUGUUUCCAUAUACAGACAGAGUAACCUGGAGUAGGCGGGGCUAAUUCCAGACCUUUUUUUUAUAACAUUUCCUAAAGUAACACCAAAGAGGAAAGUAUGAAAAAGGAUUAAGGCCACAAGUAGAGAAGAAAAAAACAAUUACAGGAGAGAGAUUUUUUUAAUUUUCAUUUCAAGGCCGAAGUCGAAAUUUCAGCUUUAUUCGUGUUGACUUUAAUCUAAAAUGUUUUAUUUUUUAAUCUCUGUAUUUCAAUUUUCAAUCUCUCAAUUUUAUUUUUUUAAUCUCUAUUUUUCAAAUUUUAAUCUGAAAUUUUUUUAAUCUCCAUAUUUUUUAUUUUUAAUCUUGAAAUUUCGAUUUUAAUCUCCUUCCUGUAAUUAUUAUUUUUUCUCUACAUGUGGCAUUAAUCCUCUUUUGUAGGAAAGAGAGUCCUCAUCACAGCGGCUGUGUUCAGUGUUAAGAUCUGUCCCGUCUUUGAUGAUGCUGUGUUUUAUUUAAUUAAAUAUGUCCUAGUAAUAAUGCUGCGUUUAAGAUACCUUGGAAAUCAGAUGUUGGAGUUUGCUUGUUUGUGUUGGCAGUUGUGGCCAAAGGAGGAUUCAGACAAUUUUCGGAACUUUCUGGUUGGUUUCUACUGUCCGAUAUUGUAGCACGCUAACUUUGUUUGGGCUCCUGAACGACACGGGGGAGCAGCGUCUGCCUCACAACCAAUCAGGUUGGGGAGGCGGAUAACGACUUUGUUUACAGUCAGAAAGAGCUCAAAAAUGUUAAAAUGGUAAAAUGUUGACUACACAGACAUAAGAGAACACAGAGAUAUCGUUCUAAUCCCAAACGUCAUCAAUAACUAAUAACUAUUGACUGAUAUUAAAAGAUUUUUUGUAAAUACACCACAAAAAAAUAUGCUUCUUUAAUGGAUUCCUGUCUACACCACCUUUAAUUCUGUUUUAAAAUCAGGUUCACUCCUGCCGUCUAUGACAUCUUUGAGACUAACAUCCUUCAUUUUUAACGUUAUUGUCGGUUUUUGUCAGCUGGUCCAUCAGGUCACCGCUUGGCCUCAUGGGAGUUGAAGUGAAAUGAAGUAGCCGAGUGUCUGAAUCUAAACAGGUUUAUUUUCUAUUUACAACAUGAGGCUGUAUCUUUGACUACAUGUGACUCUUUCCCUCCUCUCCUCGCUCUUCUCACUCUCCCCCUCUCCCUCUCCCUCUCUCUCUCUCUCCCUCUCUCUCUCUCUCUCCCUCUCUUUCACUCGCUUCCUCUCUCUUUGUUUUUGUUCUUCCGUACGUGUCAGGACGUCUUGGCAGCGUUGUGUUGUGUGUAAUGAAACGCUGACCUUUUGUGAGCCACACUGUAAUUGGCCAAAUCAGCAGAGCUUUCCCACGCUCCACAAAACACAAUUCACUGAAUUCUCACACACACACACACACACACACACACACACACACACACACACACACACACACACACACACACACACACACACACACACACACACACACAGGAUUGUAAUAUCAGCAUGUUUUGUGCUCAGACUCUUUCUCUGGGGCGAGCCAAAGGUCCAGAGCUGCUUUAAAAACUCUGUGUUUUCAUGCCAAGCUGCAGCUGGACCUGCACUUUCUGCUGGUUUUGGUUCAUUUAACGUGUGAAUAUCAAAAUUUUCUUCAGAUACACACUGAAGUCUUUAAAUUCAACCAAAGCCAUCGAAUCUCAGACUAACACUUCCUAAAACACAGGCCGCUCCUCCACAAUCACUGUGAAUAUGUUUCACAGAAACCUCUCGCACCUGUGUCCUAAACCCAACAGGAAGUCUGAUCUGGAUCUGCAGGUCUGGACUGUUUGGAUUAAAGCUACAUUUCACUGGCCCAGACUCCCUUAGAGCUGGUCGGUGGUACCUGUCCUCAUGCUGAUCCAGAGUCAUGUUGUUUCAUAAUCAGGAGUGAGUUAGCAGGCUUACCUGUCAUUACCUACAGCCGGCAAGAGCUACUUAGCCUGCUGCCUCCCACUUUAACCACUCCAGAUCACAAUGUUUUGGCUUCCAAUUAUUCUGGGAUAAGGAGGAGAGGCCGCAGAGGUGGUGUCCUGGUCAGAAACAGCCAGCAUGGAUUCAAGCUUGUUUUACUAUCUGUCAUUUUGGGGUAUUUACGCUCCUCAGUAAAUAAAGCGGAUGAGUUGGCUGCAUGCCUGAAGUGUGAUCGCCGGUAGGGCCCGACUGAUUUAUCGGCGAGCCGAUCAAAUCAGCCAAUUUAGCCCGUUUGAGACUAAUAGGUAAUCGGCCAAAACUCCUUGAUUUUCGCGAAUAUUUUCAGAAAGAAAAUGCGGAGAAUAAGAUUGGGUUUCAGUUCCAAAAUGUUCCACCAUUUGAAAAGUUCCCAGACUUAUCCUGUAGAUGGCGCAGUGACCUCAUGACAAUCUUCAUCCACUAACUACCUCACAGCACAGCAGAGUGACAGCUCUGAAGCAGGCAGCUCAGGGACGCACAGAGGAGAGUGGUCCGCCUCAACGGUAAAUAAACCAGUUUUUUAAAUACACAAUAAGUCAACAAGUUUCAGUUCAACCCACUUCACGACGUUCCCCGCUGUGCUGGUCUCGGUCACGCCGAGUUAACGGUGAAGCACCAUGUAAUAUGCAAGCUAAAGUUAGAGUUAGCCAUCUGCUAUCAGCCUUGCUAUACUGUUAGCCGUACCUGUAACGGUAGAAUUAAACAAGGAGGGGUAGUUGAAAAUGCUUUUCUGGUCCGAGUUUGAUUAGUCGGUCUUCCUGUCGGUGUGAACUGCAGUAGCCUACAGUAUAUCCCCCUUUAACAAUUAGAACUCCCCUGGAUCACCGGCGAUCCCACGUGACAUCAUUAAUAUUGUUCACAGUUUCUCAGGAACUAUACCGUGUAUCUCUACAGGAUGAAAAGUGUUCUAUCGAAGGUUUCCAGAUAUUUCUACACCUGCCACAAGGUUUACAAUCCAGCCACAAAAAUAGGUGUUUGAUCAGAGACAUUUGAUGUUAAAGGUCCUUUCACAUUGGGGGUGUUUUUUUCGUGUAAUUAUUUCGGACGUCAAUAUUUUUUUUCGAACCCGUAUCCUGUCAAUACAAGCGUUCACAUCAACAACGUUUUCCCAUCCUGCAAUGUU
rnacentral:lncRNA from 1 species